rnacentral:rRNA from 1 species
AUUGAACGCUGGCGGCAGGCUUAACACAUGCAAGUCGAGCGGAGAUGAGGUGCUUGCACCUUAUCUUAGCGGCGGACGGGUGAGUAAUGCUUAGGAAUCUGCCUAUUAGUGGGGGACAACAUUCCGAAAGGAAUGCUAAUACCGCAUACGUCCUACGGGAGAAAGCAGGGGACCUUCGGGCCUUGCGCUAAUAGAUGAGCCUAAGUCGGAUUAGCUAGUUGGUGGGGUAAAGGCCUACCAAGGCGACGAUCUGUAGCGGGUCUGAGAGGAUGAUCCGCAACACUGGGACUGAGACACGGCCCAGACUCCUACGGGAGGCAGCAGUGGGGAAUAUUGGACAAUGGGCGGAAGCCUGAUCCAGCCAUGCCGCGUGUGUGAAGAAGGCCUUUUGGUUGUAAAGCACUUUAAGCGAGGAGGAGGCUACCUGGAUUAAUACUCUAGGAUAGUGGACGUUACUCGCAGAAUAAGCACCGGCUAACUCAGUGCCAGCAGCCGCCGUAAGAC